rnacentral:ncRNA from 1 species
UUUAAGGGUAUUAUUGAUUGAACUGAUCCUUUUCCAUAACUGUUUUCACCAAUUAGAAUUGCUCUUUUAUGAUCUUUUAGCGCCCCAGCCACAAUCUCAGAUGCGGAUGCUGAUCCAUAAUUAAUUAGCACUAUAAGAGGCUUGCCAUUGAUUUGAUCACCUUUUUUUGCAAACCAUUUUCUAUUCUCUCUCUUGUUUCUUCCUCUUGUUGAUACAAUUUCUCCGUCAUCCAAAAAGAAAUCAGAAAUUUUGAUUGCUUGAGAUAGCAAGCCACCCGGAUUAUUUCUUA